rnacentral:rRNA from 1 species
AGAGCGAACGCUGGCGGCAUGCCUAACACAUGCAAGUCGCACGGUCGGGGGUGACUUCCGGCAGUGGCGGACGGGUGAGUAACGCGUAGGGAUCUAUCCUUGGAUGGGGGGACAACCGCGGGAAACCGCGGCUAAUACCGCAUGAUGCCCGAGGGCCAAAGCUCGCGAGAGCGUCUGGGGAGGAGCCUGCGUCCGAUUAGCUAGUUGGUGGGGUAACGGCCCACCAAGGCGUCGAUCGGUAGCUGGUCUGAGAGGAUGAUCAGCCACACUGGGACUGAGACACGGCCCAGACUCCUACGGGAGGCAGCAGUGGGGAAUAUUGGACAAUGGGCGCAAGCCUGAUCCAGCAAUGCCGCGUGGGUGAAGAAGGUCUUCGGAUUGUAAAGCACUUUUGUCCGGAAAGAAACCUUUGCACUAAUACUGUGAGGGAUGACGGUACCGAAGAAUAAGCACCGGCUAACUACGCGCCAGCAGCCGCGGU